GCUAAGGAGUCGAGGUCUCAUCAAAAAUUAAAGCAUAUCGAAUGGCGGUAUCAUAUUAUACAUGACUACCUUAAAAAGAAACAUGUCAGGUACGAAAAGUAGACUCUACAGACAACGUAGUAGAUCUGCUGACAAAGCAAUUGAACUAGCCAAAAAUAAAAGUCCAUCUUGAGAGGAUGGGACUUAGAUUAGUGACCAAUUGGUUUUAGUCUAAGUAGGAGAUUGUUAGAUAUAUGUCCUAGAAGCUAAUAUGACUGACACAUGAUAAUAAAGCUAGGAUAUAAUUUUAUACUUAAUAUAUUGAUUUGAUUAAUAAAAAGAUAAAUUUAAUUUUCAUUCAAGAGUGAUGUGUCCUAG
rnacentral:lncRNA from 1 species